rnacentral:rRNA from 1 species
UACGGAGGGUGCAAGCGUUAUCCGGAUUCACUGGGGUUAAAGGGUGCGUAGGUGGGUUGGUAAGUCCGUGGUGAAAUCUCCGAGCUUAACUCGGAAACUGCCGUGGAUACUAUCAAUCUUGAAUACUGUGGAGGUAAGCGGAAUAUGUCAUGUAGCGGUGAAAUGCUUAGAUAUGACAUAGAACACCGAUAGCGAAGGCAGCUUGCUACACAGUCAUUGACACUGAGGCACGAAAGCGUGGGGAGCAAACAGG